rnacentral:lncRNA from 1 species
UUGGACCACCAAGAAUCCUUCUCCAAUGCUUCUAAGAGUUAGAAUGAGGGUUAGAGGGAAUGGGAGAGGGUUUUGAGAGGGUUUUCUUCGGGUUGGGGGCGGUGUCACCGUCGGCCCUAACCCCUCGGGUUAAUAAGGGUCGCUCGGUCGGUGCCACCGCCAAACCGAGCGGUGUCACCGCCUGGCGCCCGAGCGCUCAGGCGGUGCAACCGCCGGAUCUAGCGGUGCCACCGCUGGCAUCCCGCGGAGGAA